AGGCGCCCAAAGGUUCCCUCAGAAUGGUUGGAAAUCAUUCGUAGAGUGCAAAGGCAUAAGGGAGCUUGACUGCGAGACCUACAAGUCGAGCAGGGACGAAAGUCGGGCUUAGUGAUCCGGGGGUUCCGCAUGGAAGGGCCAUCGCUCAACGGAUAAAAGCUACCCCGGGGCUAACAGGCUUAUCUCCCCCAAGAGUCCACAUCGACGGGGAGGUUUGGCGCCUCGAUGUCGGCUCAUCGCAUCCUGGGGCUGUAGUCGGUCCCAAGGGUUGGGCUGUUCGCCCAUUAAAGCGGUACGCGAGCUGGGUUCAGAACGUCGUGAGACAGUUCG
rnacentral:rRNA from 1 species